AUUGAACGCCGGCGGCAGGCCUAACACAUGCAAGUCGAACGGUAACAGGAAACAGCUUGCUGUUUCGCUGACGAGUGGCGGACGGGUGAGUAAUGUCUGGGAAACUGCCUGAUGGAGGGGGAUAACUACUGGAAACGGUAGCUAAUACCGCAUAACGUCGCAAGACCAAAGAGGGGGACCUUCGGGCCUCUUGCCAUCGGAUGUGCCCAGAUGGGAUUAGCUAGUAGGUGGGGUAACGGCUCACCUAGGCGACGAUCCCUAGCUGGUCUGAGAGGAUGACCAGCCACACUGGAACUGAGACACGGUCCAGACUCCUACGGGAGGCAGCGGUGGGGAAUAUUGCACAAUGGGCGCAAGCCUGAUGCAGCAAUGCCGCGUGUAUGAAGAAGGCCUUCGGGUUGUAAAGUACUUUCAGCGGGGAGGAAGGGAGUAAAGUUAAUACCUUUGCUCAUUGACGUUACCCGCAGAAGAAGCACCGGCUAACUCCGUGCCAGCCGCCGCGGUAA
rnacentral:rRNA from 1 species